UCGGGAAUUUUGGGCAAUGGGCGAAAGCCUGACCCAGCAACGCCGCGUGAGGGAUGAAGUAUUUCGGUAUGUAAACCUCGAAAGAAUGGGAAGAAUAAAUGACGGUACCAUUUAUAAGCUCCGGCUAACUACGUGCCAGCAGCCGCGGUAAUACGUAGGGAGCAAGCGUUGUUCGGAUUUACUGGGCGUAAAGGGCGCGUAGGCGGCGCGGUAAGUCACUUGUGAAAUCUCUGAGCUUAACUCAGAACGGCCAAGUGAUACUGCUGUGCUAGAGUGCGGAAGAGGCAACCGGAAUUCUUGGUGUAGCGGUGAAAUGCGUAGAUAUCAAGAGGAACACCUGAGGCGAAGGCGGGUUGCUGGGCCGACACUGACGCUGAUGCGCGAAAGCAGGGGAGCAAACG
rnacentral:rRNA from 1 species